AUUGAACGCUGGCGGCAGGCCUAACACAUGCAAGUCGAGCGCGCGGCGGACGGGGGAGUAAUGUCUGGGAAACUGCCCGAUGGGGGGGGAUAAAUACACGAAACGGUAGCUAUUACCGCAUACCAUCAGAUGUGCCCAGAUGGGAUUAGCUGGUAGGUGGGGUAAUGGCUCACCAAGGCGACGAUCCCUAGCUGGUCUGAGAGGAUGACCAGCCACACUGGAACUGAGACACGGUCCAGACUCCUACGGGAGGCAGCAGUGGGGAAUAUUGCACAAUGGGCGCAAGCCUGAUGCAGCCAUGCCGCGUGUAUGAAGAAGGCCUUCGGGUUGUAAAGUACUUUCAGCGGGGAGGCGUUACUCGCAGAAGAAGCACCGGCUAACUCCGUGCCAGCAGCCGCGGUAAUUC
rnacentral:rRNA from 1 species